GCCACGCUCCGAGCUGACCGAGCCUGGGACCGGUUCAAGAUAUGUGUGGAACCUGCACAUCCAAGAUGAGAUAGUAGCAAGUGUGUGAUAGUGGAAAAGAGGAUCUGUGCGAAGACUAAGCAAAAUUAUUCAGGGUGGGUCUGGGCCAUUAAGAGCACCCUGUAAGGGAGGACUGGGCCUUUCCUGAAGUCAGAGAUUGAAAGCCAGAAUCUUCUGCUGGCCUAGAAGAAGCAAAGUCCAUGUUGUGAAGGCAACAUGGUAGGGAACAGUGGGAAGCUUCUAGAAGCUGAGUAUCAGACCUACAGUUACAAGGAAUGCAAUUCUACUUGUAAGCACUGAGCUUGGAAGAGGAGCUAAGCUCAGAAUGAGGUUCUAACCCUGGCUGACACCUGAAUGCAGUUUGGUGAGACCCUGGGCAGAAAACCCAGCCAGCCCGUGUCCAGAUCCCGACCCUUGGAAACUGUGAGAUUAUAAGUCUGUACUGUUUUAAGCUGAUCAAUUUGUGGCAGUGUGUUACACAGCAAGAAAUAACUAACACACUCCAAGUCAUCUUCUGCCUCCACCAUUCUGCUGAGCCUGCACCUGUCAAGGUGUUCAGUGUUCUCCAAUUUGUCCUCCAAUUACAGGUCACUUCUCUUUCCUUAUCUGAAUCCAUCUUUGGGUGACAGUUUUGCUUUCUAAAAUUCUUUCCCCUUUCAACUUCUGUGUCCCACACUUCUUUCAUUUUCUUUCUGCAAUAAUACUUUUUGUUUCUUUAUCUUUCCCUGGCUCCUUCUCCUCCUUUCCUCAAUCUCAGAAUGUUGGAGUCCUGGGGCUUAGUCUUGGGUAGUCUUCACUAACUUUCUCUUCUGAUAUGAUCCCAUUCAGUCCCAUGGCUUUCAAAAUCUCCUGUAUGUCAAUGACUUGGAGAACAAUAUCUAGAAACUUGAUCUCCUCUGUGGACCCCAAACACAUAUCUACACUUGAUAUUUCUUCUGGGUUGUAACAUGUCCAAGAGAAAAUUAUUUCUUUUUUAAAAAAAUGCUUAAAAUUAUUAACAUUUAUUGUAGUAAUGCAACAUGAAUUAUUAAUAUAACCAUAUGAAUUUUUCAUUAAAAUGUUCAACAAUUUCCUACUGAAGCAUCCCAAAGUUAUAAAAAUCUGCUCUUUUAAAGUAACCUAUAGUGAAUUAAUCCAAGUAAUUGUGGCACUUCAGAAAGGAUAUUUACUCCACUGCAUGUUUUAAGUAGCUAAGGGAUAGCUUGAUCAAUAUAGCAAGUUACUGGA